CCAAAAGCAGAAAGUGGACUAUAGAGCAAGGCAUUCUGGCUGUGCUUCAAAGCAGAACCCUGCAGUCGUGCAAAGUCACGCACCGGUGACACAUCUGUCGAUUCAGCAGCCAUGCUGCAGGAGUGCAGAAGUCUCCCGACUUGAAGAGCCGGUAAACGUUAACCAGCGGGAACAUGGUGACGGAGCCGACCAGCGAGCCCAUCUGUGCUG